rnacentral:rRNA from 1 species
UACGUAGGGUGCAAGCGUUAAUCGGAAUUACUGGGCGUAAAGCGUGCGCAGGCGGUUAUGCAAGACAGAUGUGAAAAUCCCCGGGCUCAACCUGGGAACUGCAUUUGUGACUGCAUAGCUAGAGUAUGGUAGAGGGGGAUGGAAUUCCGCGUGUAGCAGUGAAAUGCGUAGAUAUGCGGAGGAACACCGAUGGCGAAGGCAAUCCCCUGGACCUGUACUGACGCUCAUGCACGAAAGCGUGGGGAGCAAACAGG